UACGUAGGCAGCAAACGUUGUUCGGAAUUACUGGGCGUAAGAGUGUGUAGGCGGUUCUGUAAGUUUGGUGUGAAAUCUCCCGGCUUAACUGGGAGGGUGCGCCGAAAACUGCAAUGGGCUUGAGUGCUGGAGGAGAUGAGCGGAAUUCCGUGUUGUGAGCGGUGAAAUGCGUAGAUAUCAGGAGGAACACCCGGCGGUGUAGACGGCUAUCUGGACAGCAACUGACGCUGAGACACGAAAGCGUGGGGAGAAACAGG
rnacentral:rRNA from 1 species